ACGGAAGGUCCAGGCGUUAUCCGGAUUUAUUGGGUUUAAAGGGAGUGUAGGCGGUCUGUUAAGCGUGUUGUGAAAUUUAGGUGCUCAACAUCUACCUUGCAGCGCGAACUGGCGGACUUGAGUGCACGCAACGUAUGCGGAAUUCAUGGUGUAGCGGUGAAAUGCUUAGAUAUCAUGACGAACUCCGAUUGCGAAGGCAGCGUACGGGAGUGUUACUGACGCUUAAGCUCGAAGGUGCGGGUAUCGAACAGG
rnacentral:rRNA from 1 species